rnacentral:rRNA from 1 species
AACGAACGCUGGCGGCAGGCCUAACACAUGCAAGUCGAACGAAGUCUUCGGACUUAGUGGCGGACGGGUGAGUAACACGUGGGAACGUACCUUUUGGUUCGGAACAACUCAGGGAAACUUGAGCUAAUACCGGAUGAGCCCUUAGGGGGAAAGAUUUAUCGCCGAAAGAGCGGCCCGCGUUAGAUUAGCUGGUUGGUGAGGUAAAGGCUCACCAAGGCUACGAUCUAUAGCUGGUCUGAGAGGAUGAUCAGCCACACUGGGACUGAGACACGGGCCAGACUCCUACGGGAGGCAGCAGUGGGGAAUCUUGCGAAAUGGGCGAAAGCCUGACGCAGCCAUGCCGCGUGAAUGAUGAAGGUCUUAGGAUUGUAAAAUUCUUUUACCAGGGACGAUAAUGACGGUACCUGGAGAAAAAGCCCCGGCUAACUUCGUGCCAGCCGCCGCCGUAAUAC